rnacentral:rRNA from 1 species
CACGUAGGGGGCGAGCGUUGUCCGGAUUUAUUGGGCGUAAAGAGCGUGUAGGCGGCCAGGUAGGUCGGUUGUGAAACUGGAGGCUCAACCUUCAGAGGUCGACCGAAACCAUCUGGCUAGAGUCCGGGAGAGGAGAGUGGAAUUCCGUGGUGUAGCGGUGAAAUGCGCAGAUAUCAGGAAGAACACCCGUGGCGAAAGCGGCUCUCUGGAACGGUACUGACGCUGAGACGCGAAAGCGUGGGGAGCGAACAGG